ensembl:lncRNA SNHG30 small nucleolar RNA host gene 30
GCUAGGCUGUAAGACCUGAGCCGGGCGGAGAAGCAAAGGAGAGGGAAGCUGGAAGCACCUUUGGCCCGGGACAGAAAUCUGGAGAGCUUGGCUACCUCCAUCCUCCUCAGGCCGGAGCAGGCUUCCUGAGAGAGUCCAGGUUGAGAUGAAAACUCUUGCUUUGAAUUCUUCAUGGAGGACUACAUCAUUUCAAUCCUGAAUCUGGCUCAAUUCUAUUAUUCACUUAUUACUGUAUUAAAAACGUUUAAUUGGCCAGGCACAGUGGUUCACGCCUGUAAUCCCAGCACUUUGGGAGGCCAAGGCAGGCGGAUCACUUGAGGUCAGGAGUUCGACACCAGCCUGGCCAACAUGGCAAAACCCCGCCUCUACUAAAAAUACAAAAAUUAGCCAGGCGUGGUGGCACGCACCUGUAAUCACAGCUACUUAGGAGGCUGAGGUGGCAGAAUUGUUUGAACCCAGGAGGUGGAGGUUGCAGUGAGCCGAGAUCACACCACUGCACUCAAGCCUUGGCAUCAGAGUGAGACUCUGUCUCAGUAAAAAAAAAAUAAAUAAAUAAAAAUGUUUAAUUAACCAUGA